AAAAACUUAUAAAUCAUCCUUUUGGAUGUUUGCUUUCUCUUAGGUCUUUAUGUGGCCACGGGUGAUGAUUACCAUGUCUACGCACUUUUCCUAGAUACACUUCACUUUCCUCAAUGUUCUUAAGUUCUCCUUGCUAGGAGCUUGCAUGCUCUGCUCAGGAACAGUUAUUUUGAUUUCACUUGUACAUAUCGUUCAAGACAGCAGUUGUUGAUGUGCAUUAAGGAGUAAGCCAAUUCCUUCUAUCGAUUCAUCAUGGUAUUGCUCCUCAACUGGUUAUUCUAAAUUAGUGGCCAGUUCUUUAGUUGUGAUUUUGCAAUGCAUUUA